AUUUUCAUUUCCUGAGCCAGCAUGUAAACUUAAAGUUUACAUGCAUUAAAAUAACCAAAAAUAACAUUGUUUUCAGUGUUCAGUCAACACACAAUAUACAAAAAUAGUUGCGCGACACAUAGAAGUAUUUUACAACAAUGUAUUAACCUAUACCAGCUGAGAUAAACUAAUAAAAUACUUGUUUUAAAACAGGUCUUUAUCCCACCAGCUCAGACCCACUGCCUUAACCAAAGAUGUAUGUGUAGUCAAUGACUCCCCCAAGCUAUUACAGAUGAUUUCAGCAUGGAGUAGAAGUGUGGAGAAAAUUUUCACUCUCAUACUUUUUUUGUACCCUUGGCAUUCUGUUUACACCAAGGAAUAAUUUCAUCUUUACCAAGGUAAUUUCAUCUUUAUUCACCUUGAACUGCACUUAAUUCCCUCCAUUGCUUUAAAAGUAAUAUGUAGAUCGCUUAGUUCUAAAUAGUCAAAAGACAGACCCCAGGACACUUCCACUGUACGCAGCAGAGAUAACUUGGGUAAGAAGCACAGUAUUCACAAGCUGUUCCUAUUAAUUCUCUGAGCAUUAAAUAUAUUACUUCCUCCUAGUUCUUAUCACUACAACAAUACAUGUAUAUUUUUAAAUCCAUCUUUUUUGCUCUUCCUCUUUGUGUAAACUACCAAAUCUCUCACUGGUGUGAAUUUGUUCUCUACUGUUUUCCAUUUGAAAGAAUUACAUCCCCCCCAUUCAGCAACAAGUUAUGUGCCUAAAUCAAGAUACAAAUUUCUCCACUAUGUGGAAGUAGGUGAAGAGAAUAUGACAAUUGUAUUACAGUCUGUAUAGGAACUGCUGAGUCAUGGCCUGAACCACUGACUGAGCACCUGGGAAAAGGACCCUGUCAGCCCUGUGAGCACAGGUGAAGGCAAUUCAGUGUGUGACUGGAAGGGGUGGAGCCUGGCUCCACCUCUUUUAGACCUCAUUUAAGGGCUGACUGCCACUGAAGAAGGAUCUCUUUCUGGAGUUCCCUCUUCUGUGGAGUUUCUUCUGUGAACCUAGAUCCUUGGAGACAGUUAUUCCAGAUUGCAGCAACAAAUGCACUGAGAGGAAUGCUGAGAUAGCCAAAUCAUAGACUUAACGCUCUUUUUUUAUAGGCUUCAUAAUUCCUGUCCUCAGGGCCAGAAGCACUCAUAGGAAACGCUGCUGGCUUGCUACUUAAACUGACUGCUGAAAAGCCAUUAGAUUGCUGGACCGCCUCACUGUCAGACAAUUGGAGUGUUUCAGAGUCGAGAUGAAAAUAACAAAUCAGGCAUGAAGUUGCUACCAUGAACGCACUGGAAGUAAAACCAAGAAGCUCUA